rnacentral:rRNA from 1 species
UACGUAGGUGGCAAGCGUUAUCCGGAUUUACUGGGUGUAAAGGGCGUGUAGGCGGGACUGCAAGUCAGAUGUGAAAACCACGGGCUCAACCUGUGGCCUGCAUUUGAAACUGUAGUUCUUGAGUACUAGAGGGGCAGACGGAAUUCCUAGUGUAGCGGUGAAAUGCGUAGAUAUUAGGAGGAACACCAGUGGCGAAGGCGGUCUGCUGGACAGCAACUGGCGCUGAGGCGCGAAAGCGUGGGGAGCAAACAGG